AAACAUUGAACAAACACCACAACUAACUUCCGCCCGGGAAUUACGAACAUAAGUUUAAAACCCAAAGGACUUGGCGGUGCUUAACAUCCACCUAGAGGAGCCUGUCCUAUAACCGAUAACCCCCGUUUAACCUCACCCUUUCUUGUUUAAACCGCCUAUAUACCACCGUCGUCAGCUUACCCUGUGAAGGCCUAGUAGUGAGCAGGCUCGGCAUAGCCCCAAACGUCAGGUCGAGGUGUAGUGUAUGAGAGGGAAAGAGAUGGGCUACAUUCGCUAACAACAGCGAACACGAAUAAUGCACUGAAACAACGCAAUUGAAGGAGGAUUUAGCAGUAAGCAGGAAACAGAGUGUUCA
rnacentral:rRNA from 1 species